CGUAGGGCGAGCGUUGUCCGGAAUCAUUGGGCGUAAAGAGCGUGUAGGCGGCCCGGUAAGUCCGCUGUGAAACCCGGGGCGUCAACCCCGGGCGUGCAGUGGAAACUGCCGGGCUAGAGGGCGGCAGAGGCGAGUGGAAUUCCCGGUGUAGCGGUGAAAUGCGCAGAUAUCGGGAGGAACACCGGUAGCGAAGGCGGCUCGCUGGGCCGUUCCUGACGCUGAGACGCGAAAGCUAGGGGAGCGAACAGGAUU
rnacentral:rRNA from 1 species